UUUUUCAUAACUAAAUUUUCAAUUGUCUAAUGAAAAUCCUUAUAGGCUAUAGCGCGGGUCCUGAUUUCUGUAUAGCAUGAUUUCUGCGGAUAUUGCCAUUAGCAUGAAACAUAGAGGAAAAUAAAUGAAGCCGUUAAUUUUACAUGCGUUUCUUGUAUAUAAAAGAAAUAUAUAAACCAGCAAUAUAUAUCUGGCUAUCAUCAGGCAAUAACCACAUGAUUACUUUGAACAAUAUUUAUUCUGGGCUUUAUUCCCAAGACCAAGUACACACUUUUCAAUUUACAAGGACGCAUUGUCCUUUUACAAGGACACAAAGUGUGUCAAAAAACACGCUAUUUUAAUGCCUGCUGAU